rnacentral:rRNA from 1 species
CGAGCGAGCGGAACCACAGAUUUACUUCGGUAAUGACGUUGGGAAAGCGAGCGGCGGAUGGGUGAGUAACACGUGGGGAACCUGCCCCUAAGUCUGGGAUACCAUUUGGAAACAGGUGCUAAUACCGGAUAAUAAAGCAGAUCGCAUGAUCAGCUUUUGAAAGGCGGCGUAAGCUGUCGCUAAGGGAUGGCCCCGCGGUGCAUUAGCUAGUUGGUAAGGUAACGGCUUACCAAGGCGACGAUGCAUAGCCGAGUUGAGAGACUGAUCGGCCACAUUGGGACUGAGACACGGCCCAAACUCCUACGGGAGGCAGCAGUAGGGAAUCUUCCACAAUGGACGCAAGUCUGAUGGAGCAACGCCGCGUGAGUGAAGAAGGUUUUCGGAUCGUAAAGCUCUGUUGUUGGUGAAGAAGGAUAGAGGUAGUAACUGGCCUUUAUUUGACGGUAAUCAACCAGAAAGUCACGGCUAACUACGUGCCAGCAGCCGCGGUAAUACGUAGGUGGCAAGCGUUGUCCGGAUUUAUUGGGCGUAAAGCGAGCGCAGGCGGAAAAAUAAGUCUAAUGUGAAAGCCCUCGGCUUAACCGAGGAACUGCAUCGGAAACUGUUUUUCUUGAGUGCAGAAGAGGAGAGUGGAACUCCAUGUGUAGCGGUGGAAUGCGUAGAUAUAUGGAAGAGCACCAGUGGCGAAGGCGGCUCUCUGGUCUGCAACUGACGCUGAGGCUCGAAAGCAUGGGUAGCGAACAGGAUUAGAUACCCUGGUAGUCCAU